rnacentral:lncRNA from 1 species
UGACUAGCUGGGAGCUGUAAAGGUACAGUCCUGUGCGAAGUUAGUCAUUUCAGAGGUGCAUUGUACUCUGUAGACCUGGCCAGAGAAAACUGAUGUAUCCGUGGCUGGACAGAAGCUCCCAACCCUUCCCUGAGAGCAUAUGGAAGAAGACUGCAGGGUCCGCUGCAGCCAUACAUCUGUUUCACCUGCUCAUUUGACUCUGUGUAGCUAUAAACACCGCCUAGACUUGGCUCAAAAUCUUGAAUGCCUAGACUUUGUAAUUGAAAUGGAGGUGUCUCUUAGUACAGCUUGAUGUAAGUGGUAGAUUGCCAAUAAAUGACUUAAACUUUCUUGGGGAUUGAGCUCUUAAACACAUCAGAAGGCUCAAGUUGGCAGUGUUUGAAUUUCUUUGUGCAGCUAGCUCUUUGUUCUUUAGGGCCGGUUGGUGUGGGUCAAACCAAUUAAUAACAAACUUUCUUGCAACAGCCAGUAAUGAAUAUGCUUGUAGUAUAGUCUUAACCAUUUGGGCUCAUUGAAUUCAGUUUGGGUAGUAACUGCUGUGACUUGUAAUUACAUCUGCCUUGUUUCUCUCCAGCACAGUUGUUGCGUAUAAACUAGAGACUAGGGUAAACAUUCAUGCAUGUCCUAACUGGUUGCCCAAAACACUCUGUUUUCUUACCUCCCUGCAGAAUUUGUUCCCCAGCUUUCUCUGUGUUGCUUCCAGCAGGUGGCUCUUCUCCUCCUCUGUGUGCAGGGAGUUUCUGUACUCCUUUUCAUAUGCUCUUGCUAAAUAUAAGCCAGUAGAACUGAAGCCAAGAGUUUAAGAACGUUCUAAAAAGGAUUGCUAUUUACAAAGGUGAUGAGAUUAUCCAAACUGGGACGAGUGACUUGCAUUUGGUGUUUCACGUCAUUCCUAUUAUUGGAGAUGGCAGGGAUUGCAGAUGGACCUCUCUCCACAACUGAACAACAUUGUGGCAGGCCGGAGGAGGAGAGGCCCAGCUCUGCUCCUGCUGUGCUGAGGGGCAUGGGCGUUUAGUGGCGCACCUCAUAGGUGCGAGAUGGGAUGCUGGGAAUGCUGGUGCUUCGCUUGGACUGUGCGAGUUGUUCCCAAGUGGAUGGCUACCCGGUUGCACAGAGCUUGGGGUGAGCCUGUCCCUACAGAGUGUGGUGGUGGGAGCAGGUUGUAGAGCUGAGAAAGAUUUGGAGGCCUCUCACCCCUGCUGCUGCCUAGGCCAUCUGCGGUGGCUGCUCUUGCCCUGCUGCCCUGGUCCCUGCUCUGUGCUGCACCAUGGAGGUGCCUGUGUCUACCAAGGCUUGUUGUUUGAGGUAGGUCAGCUUGAAGAUGAUGUGUUGGGGAAAGUGUUUGACCAAGAAGGUGCUCCUGAACUUUCAAGCUUGAACUUGAGAGCUAGGCUCCUAGUUUUGUCACCUCAGCCACCAGGGCAUGUAAACUUGGAGCAGGGGAUGUUGCUGCAAGCCUUCAGCCCACCAGGAAACAGCAGCAGCAUACUUCCAUUGCCUUCAGGGAGUGGAGGGAGUGAGCAGAGCUGAACAGGUUGGAAGGGAUCUGUGAUCAGCCUUGGUGAAGCUGGUGUAGCCAGGAGGCCCAGGGGACUUAAGAUCCCAGGGUGUACUGUGGAGAACAAGUCAUCUAGAUGCAUCAAGAUUUCUGUCUGAGCACUUGUAACAGGAAACUUUCAGGAAUGUAAGGUAACCAGUAAAUGAGGAAAUGUGAUGCAUGUGCCUGUUUCUUAUCUGCCUAGUGGCAGUGAACCCACUUAGUGCUAUGUUAAUUUGUAAACCAUUUGCAGUUUCCCUGGCCUCAAGAUGAAUGUUGUAAUCGACAAACACAAAAUCUGAAGAUGCAGAGGGAGGAAAAAAAUAUGUGUGCAUCAGUCUGUUACAUUAAUCUUGGUGCUUGUAAACCAUUGUUGCAGCCACCUGACAAAUGAAGUUUGGGAACUGUUGCCUGAUGGCUUUGAUCCUGGUAAAAUUGUCUGCUGGAGCUGAGGAGAAGGUUCUUAUUGAAUCACUGGUUUGGGCUUCUAGAGGUGUGGGUUGAAAUAUCAUGUCUGCUACAGUGUCCUCUUGAUGAACACAUUUUUCUCUCCUUUCUUUUUAUUUCCAGAUCAGGAGAAAACUAAAAGCCUAUUAUACCUGUAACUUGUGUCUGUGUCUUGCUACUUAGCUCCCAC